AGUGAACGCUGGCGGCAGGCCUAACACAUGCAAGUCGAGCGGCAGCGGGUUCCCGCGAGGGGAUGCCGGCGAGCGGCGGACGGGUGAGGAACACAUCGGAAUCUGCCUGGUUGUGGGGGAUAACGUAGGGAAACUUACGCUAAUACCGCAUGCGACCCUGAGUCGACGGACUGGGGGUGAAAGUGAGGGACCUUCGGGCCUCACGCGACCAGAUGAGCCGAUGUCGGAUAGCUAGUUGGCGGGGUAACGGCCCGCCAAGGCGACGAUCCGUAGCUGGUCUGAGAGGAUGAUCAGCCACACUGGGACUGAGACACGGCCCAGACUCCUACGGGAGGCAGCAGUGGGGAAUCUUGGACAAUGGGCGCAAGCCUGAUCCAGCCAUGCG
rnacentral:rRNA from 1 species